CCAGUUAGUUCGCUCGGUCGCAUAUAGUCAAACACCGAAUGCGGUGUUACGUCCAGGCCCAAAUUCGGGGCGUAACAUCUGAAAAACACCAUUAUAAAAUUACCCUUAUGAACAAAUAUUUAAACCGAGUAGCUAUUAUAAUGAAAAAGUCAAUAGCGAAACUUAUUAUGGGCAAAUAUAUAUAUAUAUAUAUAUAUAUAUAUAUAUAUAAUAAGAAACAAUAGAUUACAUAUGAAUCUCACAGCAGAGAUUACAUAUAUAUUCAUCCAAAUCUCACAGCAGAGAUUACAUAUGAAUUAAAAGGGGGCAAAACAAUAGAGGAAGAAUUAAGAAUGCACCUAAAUAUGACACUUUCUUCCAUUUAUAACGAAACUUCACGUACAAAACCGAUAGCUACUAGCCACAUCUGUUUAGAACACAUCAGAACCAAGCUUACGAGAUCAGAACCGUGAACCUCGAACAAGACCGCGAACGGACAACCUCGCCGGGAAACUAGGACCUCAUCAAAGAAGAACGAUGUUUUUCGGUGUGUUGUUCCGGUGGCAACACAAUCGGAGAACAACUUCAUGCUUGCUCAGAACUUUGUGAAGGUACAACCACAAGAAACGUAAUGCAAAUUUUCAACUUUGAACUCAAAUCAACAGAUCUUAUAACCCACAUAGAAUUCAUGUCUGAAGGAGCUGAAUCGGAAAAAAGGGACAAUGAAUGAAAGGGAUUUCUCGAAAUUGACCUGCACCCUUAAUCGCCAACUUCUGCUAAUGAAUGGAUGAGUUGUCCUUGUCCAAAAUCAGUGUUAAUGAAUUUGAGAAUUGGGUGGCGGCGAUGGUUUGAGAAUGAUAGAGGGAUGGGCGGCGUUGGCUGGACAAAUGGAACAAGGCUGCCCUUUUUGAGCCUCAAGAAUGAGAGACAGUUGAUGAUUAAAGGCGUAGGAAUUUUGGAGAUUAAAAGGU
rnacentral:lncRNA from 1 species